UACGUAGGAUGCAAGCGUUGUCCGGAUUUAUUGGGUUUAAAGGGUGCGUAGGCGGCUUAUUAAGUUAGAUGUGAAAACGUUCGGCUUAACCGGUUACCCGCCAUUGAUACUGAUAGACUUGAGUGCGACAGAGGGUGUUGGAAUGUGUGGUGUAGCGGUGAAAUGCUUAGAUAUCACGCAGAACACAAAUUGCGAAGGCAGAUGCCUAUGUCGUAACUGACGCUGAGGCACGAAAGCGUGGGGAGCAAACAGG
rnacentral:rRNA from 1 species